rnacentral:rRNA from 1 species
UACGUAGGGUGCGAGCGUUUAAUCGGAAUACUGGGCGUAAAGCGUGCGCAGGCGGUUAUUUAAGUCAGGUGUGAAAGCCCCGGGCUCAACCUGGGAAUUGCGAUGAGACUGCAAGGCUUGAAUCUGGCAGAGGGGGGUAGAAUUCCACGUGUAGCAGUGAAAUGCGUAGAGAUGUGGAGGAACACCGAUGGCGAAGGCAGCCCCCUGGGUCAAGAUUGACGCUCAU